CUCUUAAAGUGCCAAGUCCCCGAGGGUCCUCAGGAAGGCUGUGAAUGUCUGAACUCAGAUGCGGCAGUGAGCAAGUUCCCAGGCAAAGCUUCCCCUGCAUCAGACGCUAGUCAGCAAACUACUCUCUCCUGCUGGCUUGAUGGCACAGGGCCAUGAUGGUGUGGCCCACCCAGCAAGGAGUGGAAAGCAGCCUCCAGUCAAAACUAGCAAGACACUGAGGCCACCGCCUGCCAGCAGCCCUGAGGACUCGGAGGCAGAUCCUGCCACGCUGAGCCUGGACAGGUCUGCCACCACGUCCCUGAGGCAGAAGACCAGCUCAGCCACAGCCGACUCCUGACCACGGGAGCAGAGGACAGGGUCUCACUAAGUUGCCCAGACUGACCUCCAGCUUGUGAUCCUCCUGCCUCCGUCUCCUGAGUAGCUGGAUUACAGGCCUGUACUACUGCUGCCAGCUGCAGGAUUCAUCUUAAUUUUAUCCCUUGGGGUCUGUGAUGUUUCGAGUGAGUCAACACUAGCACCUUGAACCUGGACUUCCAGCCUCCAGAGCUCUUCCUGUCACUAUAACAAAGUGCCUGAGACAGUUAGCUGAUGCGGAAAAAAGCUUAUUUUGGGAGUUCCAGCCUGUGCUCAGUCGGCCUUGUCGUUUGGGGCUUGUGGUGAAGCAGUGUGUCACACAGGACAUCGUGGAGCAAAACGGCUCAGCUCUUCACAAGCCAGGAAGCAAAGAGAAAAUGAGAUGGAGAGCACUCCCAAAGACCUGAAGACCCCCACCUGUCCCACCUCUUGAAAUUUCCACCAUCUCCCACAAGUGCUACCUGGGACCAAGGGCCCCCAUGGGUUUCUGGGGGGGACACUCAAGACCCAACUACAGCAGAACCCAGGUACCCAGUCAGGGCUUCCCGAGAACCAGAACCAGCAACCCCACCGCUAUGCCCUGCACCACGGUGUGUUGGCCAACUACAGACUGCAUAGCAGAGGGUGGCCCUGCAAGAUCAUGUCUCUUGGUGACAUCACAGCUGCCAGGCUGUGUAAGCAGCACACGCUGGGAUGUUCCCACGGCGACGAGAUGCUGAGGGAUGCCUCUGUCUGUCAGACGAUUCGUGACUGUACACAGAUACUUAGGAGACCUACCGUGGGAAUUGGCUCAUGUCAUUCUGGAGGCUGAGGAGUCCCACGAAAUGCUCUCAGGCGGGACCCGCAGCAGGACACUGGUGGUGUGGCUCAGUCUGAGUCCAGAGGCCCGAGAAUCAGGGGAGCGAUGGUUGACUGUCAGAGGCCUGGAAACGCCCAGGGCAGGGGCGGGGCGCUGGCCUGCGUCUGAGUUUGAAGGCUCAGGAGCGCUGGUGUCCUUUGGGUGUCCCAACCCCAGCAGAGAGAGCACACGCGUCCUCCUCCACCUGUGGGUCCACCCUGCCCUCAGUGGCCGAUGCCUGUCCACCCGGGUAAGGGCCGAUCUUCACUCAGUCCACGAAUUCAGGUGCUAAUCUCUUCCAGCAAUGCUCAGAAAUAAAGUCUGGCAUCCCUGAACCCUGGCAAGGGGACACCUAAGAUUGGUCAUCGCACCCAGACUGCACGACCAGCUCCAGUUCUCUUAAUUCAGAGCAAGAGGACCCGUUUAGACAAAACAAGGCCACGCAGCGCCCUGUGGCCCACCGGCAGCACACUGGCUUUCCAGAGGAAGCUGACCAAACUCUCUGGGGAUACAUCCAGUGCCCCCAAGCAGCGUAUCAGGAAUCAGGACGUGGUGUGUGAAUGGGGAGGAGGAAGGGAUGUGACAUCGCCUGCCCUCCAGCUUAUUCUGAAUUCCCUCUGAAGCAGGCCCUGACUCAGCACUGGGGUCCACACCCAGUCACCCCCUCAUCAGUGGGCUCCACCUCUGCGGAAUCCACCAAUGCAGAUAGAAGAUAUCUGGGGGGAACACACAUCAAUAAAAAAGAGCAAUACAUCAAGAAAAGUAUGAAUAAAAAAGUCAACAUCACAGCUGUUUCCACAGCAUGUAUGUCGCGUCGGUAUUACGAGUACCCUAGAGAUUGAGUGCACGGGAUGCGGUGGGUUAUACCAAAGACCUGCCGGCAUUUUCUCUAAGGGAUUGAGCAGCUGCAGAGGUGGGUGACCUCGGGGACCUGGAGCACAUGCCCUUCGGAUGCCAGGCCCCCUCUUCCAGGAGCGAGGUGGCUGGGGUACUUUCCCACCAGAUCUGAGCGGGUUUGAGUGAGGGCUGCUUCUGGUCUGCUUGCCCAGUGCCAAGGGCAGAAGGCACCCGUGCCUGGUCAGACUCGCUCCUCAGGGCACCGGAAGCAGAAGGCGCCGAGGGGCAGAGGAUGGGCCCUGGCCAUUUCCACUGCUGCUGGACCAAGCCACAGCAGCCACUGUCUCCUCUCCUCCUCGGUCUCCCUGCAGCUGUUGGGAGGUGGUGACUGCCUCCUGCCCUGUCCUCUCGGGCUGCAGGGGCGCCAUCAUUUCAACAGACCUUGGCCCCGGUGCCCACUCUACCCCUUUGUCUGGCCUCCCCCGCAGCAGAGAUUGGUGCUUCAGGACGCUGCCCACCUGGGACAGGCGGCCAGCAGGAUGUGCUGGCCUGGGAAGGGGCUUGGUACCCAGAGUGGAGCCACAGGCUGGAGCUCCAAAGCAGGCCACGCUGGGCCUCCCGAGGAGAGGAGAGGGGAACUGCUUCCAAGAACUCCUCCCCCUCCCCUCCCCUCCCCCAGCUCCAUGACUCAGAGGAAACGAGAAAGGGGACACGAAACACCCACAGCUCCAUGGGGUUCCAUGGGGUCACAGGAUCUGGAUUUCUCCAAGGAGGAGGAGCGAGGUCCUCGUCAAGAACCCAGGAAGUGCCCGCAGCUGGGGUCCUGGGGGCCACAGAACCUCACUGAUGGGUUUCCAUGUUGGCUGUGGUCCCGGGUCUGCGUUCCGGGGCCUUCUUUUCCUCCCCACUCCCCACCAUCCUGACUGGUCCUGCCUGUCCUUGCUUCUGACCCCAUCAUCCUGGAGGCCUGAGCUUCUGCACAGAGAGGUAGAGGCCUCCCUCACCCAGGGACAGAGGAGGAGGGUCUCUCCAGGCCCAGGCCCAGGCCCAGGCCCAGCAUCAGAGCCGAGCGGGUCAGGCCUGGCCAGAAGUUUUAAUGAAGAGAACAACAAACGACGGGCAGGGAGGGGCGGCCGCACACGCCGUUCCCAAUUUAAUCUUCCCUUUUGGCAGAAACUGACUUCUCUGCAAGAACAAUGAAAAGUCAGGGUGGAGUUUCCCCUGCCACUCAGCGCCCGAGGAAAGUCCUGUGGCUGGGAGGGCUGGCGGGGGCUCUGGGGGGUGCCCGCGGGGCAGGCCAGGAGGGCUGGUCGGGUGGCCUGCCAGGCUCUGCUGCCGUGCCUGUCACCCUGAGGUCCCGGGCCCCGCCUGCUGUGCAGACAGCCACACUGUGGCCUACACUGUUCCCCUGCAGGGCUGGCCUUGGUGACAUCCUGGGGUCAGUUGGAGAGGC